CGGACGGGUGAGUAAUGUCUGGGAAACUGCCUGAUGGAGGGGGGUAACUACUGGAAACGGUAGCUAGUACCGCAUAACGUCGCAAGACCAAAGAGGGGGACCUUCGGGCCUCUUGCCAUCGGAUGUGCCCAGAUGGGAUUAGCUAGUAGGUGGGGUAACGGCUCACCUAGGCGACGAUCCCUAGCUGGUCUGAGAGGAUGACCAGCCACACUGGAACUGAGACACGGUCCAG
rnacentral:rRNA from 1 species